UACGUAGGGGGCUAGCGUUGUCCGGAAUCAUUGGGCGUAAAGAGCGUGUAGGCGGCCCGGUAAGUCCGCUGUGAAAGUCGGGGGCUCAACCCUCGAAAGCCGGUGGAUACUGCCGGACUAGAGUUCGGAAGAGGCGAGUGGAAUUCCCGGUGUAGCGGUGAAAUGCGCAGAUAUCGGGAGGAACACCUAUGGCGAAGGCAGCUCGCUGGGACGUUACUGACGCUGAGACGCGAAAGCUAGGGGAGCAAACAGG
rnacentral:rRNA from 1 species